ensembl:lncRNA
AUGGGAUCCCUGAGCUGGGAGCACCUGGAUCCAUCCCGGGCCAGCCAUUCCCAUGGCAGAGAUCCCUUCCCUGUUCCCUGUUCCCUAUUCCCAUUCCCUGUUCCCCGUUCCCCAUUCCCAGUUCCCUGUCCCUGCUCCCUAUUCCCUAUUUCCCGUUCCCUUUUCCCUGUUCCCAGUGGGAAGCAGGAGGAGGCUCCAGGCCGGGCCUCAGGCAGGAAUUUGUGGUUUGGGAGCGCAGUGAGGGCAGUGAGUCACCGGGGCCGGGCCCUCGCUGCGGCCCGGGCCUGCCUCCUCCUCCCCCUCCUCCUCCUCCCAGCCGGGAACGGGAUUGGGAUUGGGAUUGGGAUGGGGACAUGGCGGGGCUGUCACUUCUGUGAGUCACCUCUGCCAGCGCUGCGCCUUCACUCAGGUGGCUCCAACAGCUCCUCCUCCUCCUCCUCCUCCUCCUCCUCCUCCCCCUGCCCGGUUCCCCCAGCCCCACCCGACCCCUCUCGGGGCUGUCCCGGCCCUGCAGCCGCAGCUCCGCCCGGAGCUCCCGCCUGGCCCCCGGCUCGCCCGGGCAAUGUCCCCGCCUGCCGCCGGUGCUGUCCCCACCUGACACCGCUGUCCCCACCUGGCACCUGUCCUGCUGCCAGGAGCCCGGCCCUGUCACCUUGUCACCGUGCUCUGCCCACGGCACAGCUCCCACGGCACCUUUCCUUCUUCCUCCUCUCCUCUCCUCUCCCCUCUCCCCUCUCCCCUCUCCCCUCUCCCCUCUCCCCUCCCCUCACAGCACAUACUCCCCUAUGGAAUGUCCUUCCCUAUGGAAUGCCCUUCCCUAUGGAAUGUCCCUCCCCACGGCAGAUCCCACCCCCUGGCACGGCUCUCCCUGGCACAUCCCUCGCUCCGUGCCAGCUCCAGCGGCGCUUUUCCACGGGCCGGGAAUAUUCGGAAAUUCCCGAGCAGCCCUGGACGUGUUUCAAGCGGCGCCGGGAGAGCGGGAGCGGCGCUGGAAAACUCCGGGAGUGCUCCCGGCGGGACAACGGCGGCUUUGUGGGAGUUUUGUUGUUGUUGCCGCUGGAAUUCGCCGGGAUCCGCCGGGAUCCAGCUUUUCCAUGCCAGAAACCCGCCGCUCCCGCCCGUGCUUCCCGCGGGACUGGGGGAUCCCAGACCCCAUCCCGCUCCCGAGUGAAACUUCCCGGGAAUUCCGCCAUCCCCCGCACCGGGAGCCGUGGGAGGGCCGGGAAUGCUCCCGCUGCUCCGGCGCUUCUCUUCCCAUUCCCAUUCCCUUUUCCAUUCCCGAACUUCCCGGGAGCCGAGCCUCGGGAUCAGCGGGAAAAGCCGGGAAUGCCGGAGAGGGGGAAAAACCGGGACUUACGGCGCCGCUCGGGAGUUUUCCAGCGCUGCCUCCAAAUCCCAGGAUUACUCAGCUGGGAACAAACACUGCCCACAUGGAACUGCGGGCCGGGCGGGCGCGGCUUUUCCAGAGGCGCGAUCCCGCCGGGAAGUGCCCACAGCGAUGAUCCCAGAGCCGGCAAUUCCCAGGUUUUGGGAGGGAAAGAACCCUGGCUCGUCCAAGGAAAAAAAGUUCCCAGAUCAACCCGGAAAUCAGCGCGGCCAAACGCGGCCGGGAUCGGAUCCAGCGGCGAGGGAAGUGGAAAAAAAAGCAGGAAAAAAAUAUCAAUUCCCAGCCCCGCCGCGCAUCCGCGCCUCUGGAAAACUCCCGGAGCUCCUCCAGAGGAGCCCGGCAAUCCCAGCCCUCCCGCGGCUGCUCAUUCCCAGAUUAUUCCCAGCUGGACGGGAAUAAAUCCCAGCCCGGCGGGUUUCCCGUUCUGCUUCCCAAAAAUCCGCUGCUUUUCCUGCAGUGUUCCGCUGGGAGCAGCUUUCCCCAAAUUCAGAGAGCAGAGGAGCUCAGCGGGACGGGGAGGGAUGAGCAGGCUUAGUUUAUUAUUGUUAAUUAUUAUUAAUUAUUAUCCCUUGGUUAUUCAGGAAUUGGGAGAAGCAGGGCAGGGCUGGUGGAUUCCCAGCUCUAUCCCAGAACUUCUACAGGAAAAUCCUGGGAAUUCCUGGGAAUUAACCCCGUCCUGCCAGCAGGACACCUCAAAUCCACCACAGGAAAAAAAAAAAAAAACCCCAAAAAAAACCUUGGAAAACAUUUGGAAAAUAAAAUACUUGGAAAAUCCCCAAAUAACAGAGACAUCCCAAGGUUUUUUCCUUAAGAUAAAAAAAUUUAUUUCCCAGUCUUAG